CCUACGGGAGGCAGCAGUGGGGAAUAUUGGACAAUGGGGGGAACCCUGAUCCAGCGACGCCGCGUGAGUGAAGAAGUAUCUCGGUAUGUAAAGCUCUAUCAGCAGGGAAGAAAGAAAUGACGGUACCUGACUAAGAAGCCCCGGCUAACUACGUGCCAGCAGCCGCGGUAAGACGUAGGGGGCAAGCGUUAUCCGGAUUUACGGGGUGUAAAGGGAGCGUAGACGGCAGCGCAAGUCUGGAGUGAAAUGCCGGGGCCCAACCCCGGAACUGCUCUGGAAACUGUGAAGCUGGAGUGCAGGAGAGGUAAGCGGAAUUCCUGGUGUAGCGGUGAAAUGCGUAGAUAUCAGGAGGAACACCGGCGGCGAAGGCGGCUUACUGGACUGUAACUGACGUUGAGGCUCGAAGGCGUGGGGAGCAAACAGGAUUAGAUACCCUAGUAGUC
rnacentral:rRNA from 1 species